CUCCGCAAUCGACGUAAUCCAACGCAAUGAACGUAAAAGAUUGCGUCGUUUGCGUAAAUAAAAAGCAACCGUGUUGAGCGUAAUAUAAGGCCAAUAAUUUGCAACGCUCAUUACGUCGAUUGCGGCGAUUGCGGAGGCAAAAAUAUUUCGGUAAUAGCCGCCAUGGUUACGCAUACGCUUGCGUUAGUUGCGUUUCACGCUGCCGGCUAGCCGGCUGCCCGCACUGAUGAAUGAUGAGUAUGAUGACGCAUCAACGCACGGCGCACGGCAUGACUCCUGACGUCACUCACGCUCGACCAUAGACCCCGACCCAUACCCAAACAAUCAGCCAUCCUUAUCACCAAUUUUGGACUCCUAAAAUAAUUUACGUUGUUGAUCGUUAAUACAAUUGCAAGCAAUAAAUGAUGAGUUCUGAGUAA